GUACACUCCUGCGGGAGGCAGCAGUGGGGAAUAUUGGACAAUGGGCGCAAGCCUGAUCCAGCCAUGCCGCGUGAGUGAUGAAGGCCCUAGGGUUGUAAAGCUCUUUCACCGGUGAAGAUAAUGACGGUAACCGGAGAAGAAGCCCCGGCUAACUUCGUGCCAGCAGCCGCGGUAAUACGAAGGGGGCUAGCGUUGUUCGGAUUUACUUGGCGUAAAGCGAACGUAGGCGGACUAUUAAGUCAGGGGUGAAAUCCCGGGGCUCAACCCCGGAACUGCCUUUGAUACUGGUAGUCUUGAGUUCGAGAGAGGUGAGUGGAAUUCCGAGUGUAGAGGUGAAAUUCGUAGAUAUUCGGAGGAACACCAGUGGCGAAGGCGGCUCACUGGCUCGAUACUGACGCUGAGGUGCGAAAGCGUGGGGAGCAAACAGGAUUAGAUACCCCUGUAGUCCCAUG
rnacentral:rRNA from 1 species